UCAGGAUGAACGCUGGCGGCGUGCCUAACACAUGCAAGUCGAACGGAGUAAGUUCUUCGGAGGUUACUAGUGGCGGACGGGUGAGUAACGCGUGGGUAAUCUGCCUUACACAGGGGGACAACAGUUGGAAACGACUGCUAAUACCGCAUAAGCCGGUAGCGCCGCAUGGCGCAUCCGGAAAAGAUUCAUCGGUGUAAGAUGAGCCCGCGUCUGAUUAGUUAGUUGGCGGGGUAACGGCCCACCAAGACGACGAUCAGUAGCCGACCUGAGAGGGUGAUCGGCCACAUUGGGACUGAGACACGGCCCAAACUCCUACGGGAGGCAGCAGUGGGGAAUAUUGCGCAAUGGGGGGAACCCUGAACCGCAGCAACGCCGCGUGAGUGAAGAAGUAUUUCGGUAUGUAAAGCUCUAUCAGCAGGGAAGAAAACGACGGUACCUGCAGAAGAAGUCCCGGCUAACUACGUGCCAGCAGCCGC
rnacentral:rRNA from 1 species